CUAUUUAUAAUUCGGCAGAGUUGGCCCUCAGAACACGGCCAUUUUUUCCAGGUGGACUGCCAGAGCCCACAUUCCCCAGGCUCCAUAUAUGGGCCUCUCACAGGCCCCUGUGCCCAUAGCCUUGCCUCUGAGGGGACCAAGGCCGCCUGGCAAGUCAGGAAGGUAAGGCCCGAUCCGCUCCUCCAUGGCCGUGGGGGCCACAGCCAGCCCGGGAGCCUGGCCUCCCCGUGCUUCCCCUGGGGGGUGGUCAGAAAGCGGGGAGAAAGGAAUAAGAAACCCUGAGGUCCCAGCCCGAAGGAGUUGGAGAGCAGCCGGCUUUCUCUCCAGGGCUUGAAUAAGAAUGGCGAGGAAAAAAUGUAUUCUUGCUACGAAACAUUAGGUCACCCCUUGUUUUUUGCCAAGUGGUUUUCAAUUGUUUCCAUCGAGAUGUGACUGAGGUCCACGGCAGCCCUGCCAGCCCCCGAGGGCUCCGAAAGCCGGAUUUAUGGACGCCCUUGGAUAGGCAGAUGGGAGGGGAAGCCCAGGGAGGGUGGGCAAGCCAAGGCGAGGGAGCAGGGCUUUGCCAAGCAGAUAUUUUCUGCAGGCUCUCAGCUUUGAUUAGCAUAUAUUAAGGGCGCAGAGAGAGAAAGGUGUCCGGCCUCUUGUGGGCACUUGGACAUAAACGCCCCCCCUGCCCUCCAGAAACCAAGCACUGAGGCAAGAGGAAGGGCCUGACGGGUUGACUUGUCACUCCAGGCUUUUCUCAUCUCUGUCCCUUCUAGGCUAACGCCUGUCAGGCCAGGCCGGGGCCACAAAUGGGCGGGGGGGGGGGGGCCUGGAAAACCCCCCUCCACGGGCAUGUGGGCGAUUUUACUUCGAUUUCGUGGACUGUUUGUUCAACCUCCUCGAGAAUGGUCUGCAGUGGACACAGCUGUGUCAAAUCAAGUUCAAGUCCUUUCUCUAAAUAGCCUUUUGUGGCCAUCUGGAUAUCUCUCCCUUAGGAUGGAGAGCAUCUGGUAUUAUUAUGAAUUGUUAUUAUUAAUAUCAAUAAUAAGAGUCUGCCUUUAUUGAGUGUUCACCAUGCCAUCCACUUAACAUAUAGCAUCUCAUUGAGUCUUCGUAACACCCCCAAGAGAUGGAUGUUCUUCUGUAGGUGAGGAAACUGGGGUGCAGAGAGGUGAAGCAGCAUGUCCAUGCUGACCCUACGGGUGGAGGCCCCUUCUUAAAUGUGUUGCCCCUUCUCUUCUCUCCUGAGCAUCUAGGACAAACUAGACCCACAAAGAAUCUUCACUCAGGAGGCACUUCUUCGGCCAAAGGCACCUCUCACCUGUGAGCUCUUUUCAGCGUAGGAAGGAUUCCGGAUUCUCUGUGGACCCCAUGGCCUCUGUAGCCCUCCCUGAACAGCCAGGACCCUCUAUCUGUGGAGGUCCCAGCCGUCCCGUUACUUGCUUGCCUGUGACAAAUAUGGGGCUGGCACUUCAGCAGGGAGAAGGAGCAGCAGGAGUUGAUCAAUUCCUAAGCAACAAAGAUCCUGUUUUCAUGCAAACGUCCUCGGCAUUAAAACAAAAACAAAUUCUUCCCGGGGCGCGUCCUGGA